UCCCGGUUGGCCCGGGCAGUCUCGCCUGAAAUUACAACAGACGAUAAGGGUUGCGCUCGUUGCGGGACUUAACCCAACAUCUCACGACACGAGCUGACGACGGCCAUGCAACACCUGUCACUGCGUUCCCGAAGGCACUCCACUGUUUCUAGCGGAUUCGCAGGAUGUCAAGCCUUGGUAAGGUUCUUCGCGUAGCAUCGAAUUAAACCACAUCAUCCACCGCUUGUGCGGGUCCCCGUCAAUUCCUUUGAGUUUUAAGCUUGCGCUCGUACUCCCCAGGCGGGAUGCUUAACGCGUUAGCUUCGCAGCCCAAGGGGUCGAUACCUCGAACUACUAGCAUCCAUCGUUUACGGCGUGGACUAC
rnacentral:misc_RNA from 1 species